rnacentral:misc_RNA from 1 species
AUCAAUCGUGCACCGGGAGGAGGCCACCCUGCCUGCCCUCAGGUAGGGCAAAGGAACCCCUGUGAACCUUCGAUUUCAUCCCAUCUGUGAACUUUCUUCUGUUGCUUCCGUGCGUCUGCGCUCGCAAGAGUGCCUGAAAAGCCCUGGCAUGCUCAGGGACGCACGGCAAUGGUAUCCAAACCCUGGUUAUCUGUUAUCUGUCUGAGUGGUUAACACAAUUAAACAAGUUA